AAGAGCCCGGUGACGGGAGACUGUCACGCCGGGAUCUGUGGGAGCCCGGAGGUGAGACCCCUCCGGGCCACCCGAC
rfam:Streptomycetaceae bacterium MP113-05 genomic scaffold scaffold00013, whole genome shotgun sequence.